rnacentral:sRNA from 12 species
AAUCGGCGUACAACGAUGGGGACGUGUCCCCGAUGUGGUGCCGAGGGUGGCAAGCCACAGCAAAAGCAAUUCUUUCCAAUGUUUCAAAUAUUGGAAUGUUUUGGAAAGCUGAAAAAUCACGUGUCGGGCAAUAGGGUUUGGUAGGCUGGCAACAGUUCGAAGAAGUCUGGCCCG